rnacentral:rRNA from 1 species
CCUACGGGUGGCAGCAGUGGGGAAUAUUGGGCAAUGGGCGCAAGCCUGACCCAGCAACGCCGCGUGAAGGAAGAAGGCCUUCGGGUUGUAAACUUCUUUUCUCAGGGACGAAGCAAGUGACGGUACCUGAGGAAUAAGCCACCGCUAACUACGUGCCAGCAGCCGCGGUAAUCCGGAGGUGGCAAGCGUUAUCCGGAUUUACUGGGUGUAAAGGGCGUGUAGGCGGGGACGCAAGUCAGAUGUGAAAGCCAUGGGCUCAACCUGUGGCCUGCAUUUGAAACUGUGUUUCUUGAGUACUGGAGAGGCAGGCGGAAUGCCUGGUGUAGCGGUGAAAUGCGUAGAUAUUAGGAGGAACACCAGUGGCGAAGGCGGUCUGCUGGACAGCAACUGACGCUGAGGCGCGAAAGCGUGGGGAGCAAACAGGAUUAGAUACCCGGGUAGUC